UUGAGAAGCUGAAUUAUGCUUGUUAUACUAAGCAAAUGGGAGGGGCACAGGAGUGGUUAUCAGCAUGAGAAACAAGGAGAGAGAAAGUCCAUUCCAUGUCCUACUUCCUGCAGGCCCCAGCUCUCUGACUGUCAAAGUCCUCAACCAAGCCAGUGGUAGACACAACCUAGGGCCAUAUGAGUUAUCCUCAGGCUGCAGAGCACAGAGGGAAAGGGCCUGCUCAAGAGGCAGCAUCUGGAAGAAGCUAAACCAAAUGCUGAACAUGCUGCCCUUGUAGAGGGGCUAAGUUUCAAAGCAAAGGCCUGGGAACGAAAUCUAAGAAACUCUCCAUGUCAAGAAAAUAUGUCUAACAGUUGAGUAUCAUGAAUGAGCUAGUCAGAGAAGAUCAUCCCUGCUGCACGCCUAGGGGAUUACCCAUCCAGGGAAAAAAAGCACCUAACCGGGGGAAAUGCAGCAUGCUCUGUGGAGCUGUCCCUUUAAGCACAGGUCAGUGAUCGGUGAAAGAAACUGGUCUGAGGAGCUGCUGGUCUAGGGGCUCAGGGUGAAGCUACAGAAAAAAUGGACCUCCUCUUGACUCAUGCAUGCCCUCCUGGACCUUUGGCCCUCUUCCUGAGCCCUGGAAGGCUUUCCCCCUAUUUCCAGGACCUGUGAAUCAACAGAGCUGCAGAACCAGGAAUUCAGAGGGCUUCAUUCGCAGCCCCCUGGCCAUUUUUAGGGGCCUCUCACUGAGUGCAGUGAGUAGAUGGUCAACAUUCCCACUUGUUUCUCAGGGAGGUGAUAUUUCAGUGCUACCCACAGGUGAUCAAGGUGACGCCCAGGCUGUGUGUUGGGUGCCUGGCUGCUGAUCCACGUUAGUGAGAAUCAUGGGCUUCCUGUCACAAGGACUGUGCUGCUGUCAAUCUCUCUAACAUCCAAAGUCAUCAUUGUAAAGGAAAAAAUCACGCAUCGAGAAAGAGCACAUAAAUAGUUUGAGAAGACCAUCUGUGCCAUCCUGGCUGCCUAGGAGGCUUAAUGCGGUGUUUAUUGAAACAAACAUCUGCUGGGCAUAACCUUUCCUCGACAGACAAGGGGCAGGGGAGAGGGAAGGCAAAGCUUAGGAAUAACUCCAUUAUCUCAGCUCUAAUAGAGGAAAAUAUGUGCAGGAGGAAAGGUCAACUUGUUGAAAGAAGCGGCUUUCAAUAUUAGUUUUCUUCUUUGCUCUUUUCCUAAUAUUUGACUUUUAUUGUUGACUUAAAACCUUUUUUUUCCACAAGAACUUUGCAGCAUACGUUUCUAAAUCAUAGCUAGUUAAUAAAAUUUCU
rnacentral:lncRNA from 1 species